rnacentral:rRNA from 1 species
GAUGAACGCUGGCUACAGGCUUAACACAUGCAAGUCGAGAGGAAACGACGGGGAAGCUUGCUUCCCCGGGCGUCGACCGGCGCACGGGUGAGUAACGCGUAUCCAACCUGCCUCUGACUGAGGGAUAACCCGUCGAAAGUCGGCCUAAUACCUCAUGGCAUCGUCUGCGGGCAUCCAACGACGAUUAAAGAUUUCAUCGGUCAGGGAUGGGGAUGCGUCUGAUUAGCUUGUUGGCGGGGUAACGGCCCACCAAGGCUACGAUCAGUAGGGGUUCUGAGAGGAAGGUCCCCCACAUUGGAACUGAGACACGGUCCAAACUCCUACGGGAGGCAGCAGUGAGGAAUAUUGGUCAAUGGGCGGGAGCCUGAACCAGCCAAGUAGCGUGCAGGAUGACGGCCCUAUGGGUUGUAAACUGCUUUUAUGCGGGGAUAAAGUGAGGGACGUGUCCUUCAUUGCAGGUACCGCAUGAAUAAGGACCGGCUAAUUCCGU